rnacentral:rRNA from 1 species
UAGGGAAUCUUCCGCAAUGGGCGAAAGCCUGACGGAGCAACGCCGCGUGAGUGAUGAAGGUCUUCGGAUCGUAAAACUCUGUUAUCAGGGAAGAACAAACGUGUAAGUAACUGUGCACGUCUUGACGGUACCUGAUCAGAAAGCCACGGCUAACUACGUG